rnacentral:rRNA from 1 species
GACGAACGCUGGCGGCGGGCUUAACACAUGCAAGUCGAACGGAAAGGCCCUGCUUUUGUGGGGUGCUCGAGUGGCGAACGGGUGAGUAACACGUGAGUAACCUGCCCUUGACUUUGGGAUAACUUCAGGAAACUGGGGCUAAUACCGGAUAGGAGCUCCUGCUGCAUGGUGGGGGUUGGAAAGUUUCGGCGGUUGGGGAUGGACUCGCGGCUUAUCAGCUUGUUGGUGGGGUAGUGGCUUACCAAGGCUUUGACGGGUAGCCGGCCUGAGAGGGUGACCGGCCACAUUGGGACUGAGAUACGGCCCAGACUCCUACGGGCGGCAGCAGUGUGGAAUAUUGCACAAUGGGCGGAAGCCUGAUGCAGCAACGCCGCGUGCGGGAUGACGGCCUUCGGGUUGUAAACCGCUUUCGCCUGUGACGAAGCGUGAGUGACGGUAAUGGGUAAAGAAGCACCGGCUAACUACGUG